rnacentral:rRNA from 1 species
UACGUAGGUGACAAGCGUUAUCCGGAUUUACUGGGCGUAAAGGGCAUGUAGGCGGUUUGGCAAGUCAGAAGUGAAAUUCCUGAGCUCAACUCGGGCGCUGCUUCUGAAACUGCUAGACUUGAGUGCUGGAGGGGAUAGCGGAAUUCAUAGUGGAGCGGUAAAAUGCGCAGAUAUUGGGAAGAACACCGGUGGUGAAGGCGGCUAUCUGGACAGUAACUGACGCUGAGGCGCGAAAGCGUGGGGAGCAAAC